CAGCUUGGCCCGUGUGUGCUCCAUCUUGUAGCUCGCAGGGCGUUCCUCGAUGAUCCCUGCUUCUGAAUUUUGGACGCAGAACAACAAGCACUGCUGGUUGUUGGAGGGCAAGCUGAAUCAAUGCAGCAAAGGGAAGAAAAAACUGCCGACGGUGGAGACUUGAAACCAAAAUCUACAAUUUUGCUGGGGAAACUCAGCAGGUCUGGCAGCAUGUGGGGAAAGAAGCAUUUCGCGUUUCGAGUCCACUUUCUCCGGCAAUACAAAAGUCACGGUUUCUGGUAGAAACUAUUAUGAAGGAGGAUCGCUGAACUCGAAACGGUUUCUCUCUCCACAGAUGCUGCCAGACCUGCUGAGUUUCUCCAACAAUUUCUGUUUUUGCGUGUGUGAAUUUCGUAAUUUCUAGUGGUACUUCCAGCCCAAAGUGGGUUUUGUGUGUAUUCGGUCAGCGCAUUCCAGCUACGAUGGUCGAAAUCAUUCCGGGAUCUAGCCACUUCUGUUCAGUCCGUCCUGUUGUUACAGGGUCACCUCCAGCCCAGCUUGGGAACAAUUUGGAGCUCUUCCUUUUAACAGGAGCUUGUCCUUUUGGUCCCAGCAACGGAAGUUCAAAAAAUGUAAACAUUGGUCAGGUUGCAAAAUGAGCCUGCAUUUAAAUGGAAAGGACUGCUUGGAAAUUCAAACCAAAAUAUAAUAGCUUUUUUGUUUUCCAUUUACUUCACUUGGAAGGUAUUAUUGAUACUUACAAUUUUUUUCCCCCAAGGCAAAUUAUGAAGGCGUUUAUUUAUACAGCGUCUUUUACAUCUUUAUGGUGUUUCAAAAUAAAACUCAGCACAUUAUUUUUAGAAGUAUAAUUCUUUUUUUUAUCGUACGCAACUAAAACAGACAACUUAAAUAUGUCAAGACAGGGAAAGGAUCACUAGAAUUUUUUUUAUUUAAUGAUGUUAUUUAAGAAAUAAAUGCUAGGCAGGAUGCUGCGACUGCUUUAAAAAGUGCCAUGGGAUUUUAAACACAAUAGCCUAAUUUGAACAAGCAGCUUGAGUCUUAAUUUAAAAUCUUGCUCAAAAGGCACCCACAGGGACAAUUUAGUAUUACCUGGCUCUUACAGUAAGGUGUACGUCUUGAUUAUUCAGUGCAGGCGCACUUGUGGCAUAGUGGUAAUGUCUCUACCUCUGGGCUAGGAGGCUGGGUUCAAAUUCCACUUGCUCCAGGAAUGUGUCAUAAUGUUCCUGGAUAGUUUGAUUAAAAUACCUAAAUUAUACAGUAUAGCAAUUGCUGCUUUACAACAUAUGUUACAAAACUAAUUCAAAAAAUCAUAGUGAAUGGCUGUGAAGUGCUUUAAGGUAAUUAAUAGCCCUGAAAAGCACUUUAUAACUACAAAUUAUAUGCACCUAAGUCCCAUGAUGGGAAUUAGCCUCAGGCUUCUGGCUCAGAGAUACAAGUGUUACCUUGCAACAAUAAUAACUUGUAUUACAUGACCUUAACAUAUAUAGCAAAGUAUCACAUUAUAUUUCAGAGAAGUAUUAUAAAACAGAGAGGAUAGUAAACAUGUAAACUAAUAUUAGGACUAAUGACAAAAAGCCUUGUCCAUGAGAUCAGUUUAAGGGGUGUCUUAGGGAAGAAAGUGAGGUUAGGAAAGGUACCUCCAGAGUUAUAGCCAAAGUAACUGAAGGCAGGACCACCAAUGGUGAGGUAAUUAAAAUUUGCAAUGUUUAAGAGGGCAGAAUUAGAAGAGUGCAGAUAUGCCUGAAUGUAUUGGGGUAGAAGAUUAGAGAGAGGUCGAGGGAGGCAAGACCUUGGAGGGAUUUGAAAAGGAGGAGAAUUUUAAAAAUAAUGUUUUUUUUCUCAGAACCAGUGUAGGUCAGGAUGAACAUUGGUGAAUAAAUGAGAUUUUGUGUGAGCUAGGACAUGGGCAGCAGCGUUUUGAAUUUACUAACGUUCAGUGAGGGUAGAUCAUGGACAACUUUCCCACCUUGCCACCAACUGAGAUCAAGUGCUCGAUAGCUUCAUCCCAUCACUGCUCCAGGAAGGUAACAUGCAUGGCAGUUAAAAUCAUGCAGCUAACUUGUCAUCUCACAGUGAUGGGGAUUCCUCAAUCAAAAGCAUUCAGUAUCUGAUUGAGGAGCUCAUCAUCAGGAAUUGGGGUAGGUUCACUGAGAACCACUCUCCUACCCUUGCUGCCAAUCCCACUACCCUCCUCUGCCCAUGACACCCGCAUUGUGAACCCCUCCCAUCACCCCAAUAUUACUUACAUGCGUCCUGAUGUGCUCCUUGAUCUAUUCAUCCCAGCAACAGUCCUGGUCUCUCCUGUGGAGUUGCUGGCUUCUGAUUGGCCAGCAGCUCUUGGUAACAAAGAUUUCCAACCCAGGGACUAGGCUUGCCUGUGCCCGAUUGGCUUGUGGUUGGACUGCCCUUCCAGAAAGGAAGGUCUCUCACCAGCUCAGAGGAGACAAUAGCAGCAUGAUAAUGUCUCUGGCCAAAUAAUCUAUGGAGGCACGGGCUCAUACUCCACCAGGACAGCUGGAGAUUAAUUAAUUAAACAAAAUGUCUGGAGUUGAAAGCUAGUCUCAGCAAUGCACUUUAGCUAUGAAGUGAGGCUGGAUAAGCUCAGGUUUUUUUUUAGAGUAGAAAAUAUUGAGUGGGGCUUUAUGGAUGUAUAUAAGAUUAUAAAGGGCAUGGACAAGGUGGUUAGAAAGCAUCUGUUCCCCACAGCUGAAAGAUCGUUAACAAGAUUGUGCCCAUUUUUAGAUGAAAUGCAAGAGGUUUAGAGGGAAUUUAAAGCAAAACCUUUUCAUCCAGAGAGUGGUGGGAAUUGGGAAUACACUGCACUGGAGGGUAGUUGAGAAAGGUCACCUCACAACCUUUAAAAAGUACUUGGAACAACAUAACAUUCAAGGUUAUGGACUUAGUGUUGGAAAGUGUGACUCGUGAAGAUUCACUGUGGUUUCAGCGCUGCAAACCCAAUUGGAUGAAGGACCUUUUCUGUAUGAAAGAAAUCUACUAUCCUUACCUGAUCCAGUCUACACAUGAGCCAGACCCACAACAAUGUGAUUGACUUGCAAUGUCGGCCAACCAUCUCAAUGACCUGCUGAUUCUCCAUUAUCUAUGAAUAAUGGCCAUUUGAGCAGUUUAUCAGAGAGUCUCCCAUGGAAUAAAAGUGCAGACAAACAAGAGUUAACACUUUUAGGACCUGCGGGAAGAAAUGGCAAUCAACAAUGUGUUCCACAACAGACUUAUCAGCAAAGUUAUAGCCCUUGGAAUGAAAGAACAGAAGCAGAACUGAUACAAAAUUGUCUAAAGUCACAGAAAAGAAAAUAGAGGUGAAUUCUUUUUGCACUGGAGGAUGAUGUGCAGUGGUAUUCCUUAGGAGGUCAGUGUUAGCAUUUCUGAUUUUCCUAACAAGUUAAUGACCUGGACUUGGGUGUACAGGACACAUUUUAAAAUUCUUUCCUUCACAUAAACUCUGGAGUAUUGUGAAAUCUGAUAAGCUGCAAAUGGAUGUAGACCAGCUGGUGCUAUGUGCAGAGGAAUGGUAGAUGAAGUCUAAUGUUGAGAAGAAAAGGGAGAGGCCAUAUAAAAUUAUAAGGGGUUUAGUAGUAGAGAGAUCUGUUGGUAUCAUGUAUAAGUCAAUGAAGGGCAAGAUGAAAAAAUAAUUAGUAAUGUAUAUGGUAUCCUUGCCUUUAUAAAUAAGGUCAGAAAAUACAAACAUAUGAACGUUAUAAUAAAGCAAAAUUGAAGGAGAGCAGUGUCUCUCUCUAGUUCCUUUAGCUCACAUGGCACAACCUAAAUGUAAAUGUUUCAUCAGUUAGUGACAUGGUCAAUUAAAUACUUUAUAUUAAUUUCAAAAUAAAAAUCGGCCAACUAGAUUUCUUUAACAGCAACACAAUUUUUGAUUGAUUGUAUAAAUAAACUAAUUUGACAAAGAUGCAAAGCUGAUUAGCAUUGUUUGAGAUAUGAAAGUAUAAAUGUUUACCCUAAUAAACAACGCAAGACAGACA